rnacentral:rRNA from 1 species
UACGAAGGGGGCUAGCGUUGUUCGGAAUUACUGGGCGUAAAGGGCGCGUAGGCGGGCCUUCAAGUUGGAUGUGAAACCUGGCGGCUUAACCUCCAGCCGGCAUACGAUACUGUUGGUCUUGAGUACGGGAGAGGAGAAUGGAAUUUCAGGUGUAGCGGUGAAAUGCGUAGAUAUCUGAAAGAACACCAGUAGCGAAGGCGGUUCUCUGGACCGAUACUGACGCUAAAGCGCGAAGGCUUGGGGAGCGAACAGG